ensembl:lncRNA
GACGAUAAUAAAUGAGUGUUCUAAAAGCCUCAAUAUUUUAUUUUUAUUUUCAAGGUCAAGACAAUUAAAUAACAUGUUUGGCAGUAAAAGAAAACCUGACCAUCGCAUCCACCAAUCCCGAGCUCCUCUGCUGCAUGUGUUUCCAGGACCCAUUUCCUCGUCUGUAUAUCAAAAGGUUCAAGGUCCUCCACCCUCUCUCCCCUAUGUGUAACUCGCUCCAGAUGAGCAACAAUGGUACAUUUGACUUAGUGCGCAAGACACAUGUAUACAGCUUUGUCUUGGGCUGCCUCAAACAGCUGGCGUAGUGCCUCCUCCGCGAAACGAGGGAAAGCUUCAUAUCACGCCUUUGUUUAAGCUAUCAAAUGAAGGCAGCGCCCGGCGGUGGAUUCGGUGUUAUAUUUACCUUCCAGGACUGUCGGAGACUGAUUAGAGGUUGGAGAACGUGUGACGCACCUGUUGACUGGGCUGCAGCCCCAGCUGUUGAAGUAGCAGACUGCUACCUGAUUGUGUAAUGAGCUGAAAAGGUGACGAACGUGACGGUAACAUGUUGAAGGUGUUCCAGGUGUGGAGGCAGAGGGUGGUCUCGUCAUAACUCAGCUCAUUACUCUGGGCGGGCUCAAUUAGAGUAAGGCAGUAGGCGAAGCUCUUUGUCCUGGACCGAUUCACAAAUCGAUCCGUCGAAACGGGCAUGAAUACAGACGGGAGAAGCGACUGCGCGCGUCAAGGAGGGGCGGAACGCCGCCUUUCCAUUGGCUGGCAGCACAGUGGCUCUGCUCAACCUGAGUUUAGUCAUUAACGCGACGGAGCACCCACAGGCUGCGAGGAAGACUUCAAAGGGUUCGGCUGCAUCACCAUCCAUACCGUUAAAUGUUACUCGUCCUUUUUUUUUUUUUUUUCAAAGGAAUUGAUUAUCUUUGAUCAAACAUCCUCAAACAAUCUUUUUGUGUGGUAAACGUGGAAUUGUUUAGUCGCCUUAACAGACAUUAUUCAUGUAAAUUCAUUCAUGGGGAAAAAACACUGCACCGCGACACCCUUCCUUUUAUUUUUUUCUUCUUCUUUUCCGACAUCUGCAUCGAAGGAGAUGGCAAAGAUUAUGGCGGGAUAACGCUGCACAAACAUGGCCGCCUCAAACUAGAUCAAAGCAAAGACAAUCAAAGCCAGAGUGAGAGCUAUGUAGCCUCAGUAAGCUCCUCUAAAUAUCUGCAGUCCCCCGAAGCCCAUCCAAACUGUGCGUUGCAUCACCCUACACCAACUGCUUCCAUGCCUGAUCUUUCUGGGAGAGGAGACAUAAGCCCCCCUUUUGCCAUGAACCUUAAAGGGCUAGUGGAGUCCUGACGCAUAGGGAGACUUAAAUCCUUCAAAGUGAUUGCAAACACAGUGGCUGACCCUGCUGUUGAUAUUUAACCUGGGGUGUCCCCUUGCAAAGCCCACAUAAAGCCAUAUAAGAUAUGACAUGACACUGGUCGUAAUCAUUUACGUCACCGCGGGAUCACGAUGAUGAACGACUCUCAGAUACAGGGGUCUACAGCUUGUUAACUUCCACACUAAACCACUGUGUUACUCUCUGCUCCUGUCUGUUUAGAGCCGGCUUGUUACGAUCAGUACUCCGGCCACUCAUGAUGUAAGCCCGUGCCAUCAAAUGCUUCAAUAAAGUACAUUAACUAGAUGUUAGUUUAUGUAUUUGUGUGUGUGUGUGUGUGUGUGUGUGUGUGUGUGUGUGUGUGUGUGUGUGUGUGU